GACGAACCGUGCGAACGUUGUUCGGAAUCACUGGGCUUAAAGGGCGCGUAGGCGGCUCGCCAAGUCCGGGGUGAAAGCCUCCAGCUUAACUGGAGAAGUGCCUUGGAAACUGUCGGGCUCGAGCGAGAUAGGGGUCGUGGGAACUUCCGGUGGAGCGGUGGAAUGCGUUGAUAUCGGAAGGAACGCCGGUGGCGAAAGCGCACGACUGGAUCUCUUCUGACGCUGAGGCGCGAAAGCCAGGGGAGCAAACGGG
rnacentral:rRNA from 1 species